rnacentral:rRNA from 1 species
UCGGACUGUAGGCUGCAACUCGCCUACACGAAGUCGGAAUCGCUAGUAAUCGCGGAUCAGCAUGCCGCGGUGAAUACGUUCCCGGGCCUUGUACACACCGCCCAUCACACCAUGGGAGUCGGAAAUGCCCGAAGUCGGUGACCUAACUGAAAGGAAGGAGCCGCCGAAGGCAGGUCUGGUGACUGGGGUGAAGUCGUAACAAGGUAGC